GGGGAAUAUUGGACAAUGGGGGAAACCCUGAUCCAGCAAUGCCGCGUGAGUGAUGAGGCCUUCGGGUUGUAAAGCUCUUUUGUCAGGGACGAUGAUGACGGUACCUGACGAAUAAGCUCCGGCUAACUUCGUGCCAGCAGCCGCGGUAAUACGAGGGGAGCUAGCGUUGUUCGGAAUUACUGGGCGUAAAGGGCGUGUAGGCGGUACCAUAAGUCAGAUGUGAAAGCCCUAGGCUUAACCUAGGAAUUGCAUUUGAUACUGUGGAACUAGAGAUCGAGAGAGGUAAGUGGAAUUACGAGUGUAGAGGUGAAAUUCGUAGAUAUUCGUAAGAACACCAGUGGCGAAGGCGACUUACUGGCUCGAUACUGACGCUAAGGCGCGAAAGCGUGGGGAGCAAAC
rnacentral:rRNA from 1 species